rnacentral:misc_RNA from 1 species
GAUGAAGAACGUGGCGAAAUGCGAUAAGUAAUGUGAAUUGCAGAAUUCAGUGAAUCAUCGAAUCUUUGAACGCACAUUGCGCCCGCUAGUAUUCUGGCGGGCAUGCCUGUCCGAGCGUCAUUUCAACCCUCAAGCCCCCGGGCUUGGUGUUGGGGAUCGGCGAGCCUCCGCGCCCGCCGUCCCCUAAAUCUAGUGGCGGUCUCGCUGUAGCUUCCUCUGCGUAGUAGCACACCUCGCACUGGGAAACAGCGCGGCCACGCCGUUAAACCCCCAACUUCUGAACGUUUGACCUCGGAUCAGGUAGGAAUACCCGCUGAACUUAAGCAUAUCAAUAAGCGGAGGA